rnacentral:rRNA from 1 species
UACGUAGGGUGCAAGCGUUGUCCGGAAUUAUUGGGCGUAAAGAGCUCGUAGGCGGUUCUGUCGCGUCUGCUGUGAAAAACCUCAGGGCUUAACCCUACGCGAGCUUGCAGUGGGUACGGGGCAGACUAGAGUGCGGUAGGGGAGAUCGAUUGGAACUUCGUGGUGUGAGACGGUGAAAUGCGCAGAAUAUCAGGAGGAACACCGUGUGGCGAA